AUGGGUGCAUUCCUCAACGGCAGGGUGUCUACAGCAAGGAGGAGGGGCAGCAAGUGUGUUUACUUCAAAAAGGGACUACAUAAAUAGUAACUGCUGCUGUUUAAAGGACUUCCUGUCACUAGUUAUUGCAUAUAAGAGCAGUUAAAUAAACGAUCAGUUUCCCAUCGGGGCUGCUUCGUCUUUACUGUAUUGGGAUCUGCAGUGGGUUCAAUCCGGGAUCCUGGCGUGUGGAUUUUAAAGCCCCAGACUGGAGUCAUGGAGCUGUUACAGAUUACAAGACUGUGGUCUGUCCCUGGCAGAAGUAAUACCUCAGCAGAGGGCCUGCCACCUUGGUGGAGGAUAUGAGCAGAGAUAAAGAGCCUGGCGUUUUACAAACAGAAUGGAGGCUGAGAACAGGAUGUCAGGGUGUGAUAGACCGUCCGCUGCCCUCAUUGUUUUUUUUUUUUCUUUGCUUGCCUCUUCUGAUAAAAACAGCGCCCUCAUCUAAGGAGAAGUAUUAAAUUUUUUUGUGCCUCACACUGGUCAAACAUCACCAACAGGAAGAUACCAUCUGCCAUGUGUUUGCAUUCGCAGAAGUGGAGCUUCACAGCCCACAGCAGGGGCCAGGCGCACAAUCACUGCAGAAUAUCACCAGAUAAUCUCUGUGGAGCCUCAGGAAAAACGACCGAGAGUAAACAAAGAAAUUAAACAAGCUAGAUCCGUGAACAAUGUGCUCCAUGCUGCAGGCUUCUCUUCCCUCUUCCCUGCUCCAUAAAUUGCAGUUCCCGGGGGACCACUGGAAAGACAGUACAACUCAGAGCCAGAUAGAGCUGUCUGAAAAGGCUCCAGCUUCAAGUUAGGCAUGCUGAACAAAAGUCCCAUCACCCAUGAAGUUAAAUUAAUUUAUAUUUUCUGCACCACAUUUGGUUUGUCUGCACCCUACACGGUGACAGUCAGUGUGUUAGGGCCGAGCAAGUUUGCCACUGUGCAUGUGGUCUCUUGAUCAGGGCAAUGAAAGGCAGUUUACAGCCUUUUAAAAGGUGUAUAAAAACCUCUCUCUAAAGAGGCAUAUACUUCAUGGCGUGUGUGUUCCCACAAUUAAUGUCUGAGCCCAGCAUGAGACCACUGGACAUCCUUCCUCAUUUUGCCUCCUUGCCCUGAAGGACCGAAGCCACUGCUGAGUUGCAGCAUUAAAAUAAAAUGUGCAGUUUGAAAUGAAAAUAUGAAUCGGAAAAACUGCAGGCUGAUGAUGUAAAUGACACACUGAAUAAUGCCAUCUGUUGGGUGGUGUGAAACUGCGUGCACCUCCAUCUUCCAGCACCACUAUUUCAUGAGCAUGCUUCUUUUUCUAGGUCUUUACUAUGUGAUUGCAAUCAAGAAGCAAUCACAUAGUCACGCGAAGAAAAGGUGUAUGCGGAUGUUUAAACAGAUCAAAUAUUAUGACAAAGAAGACAAGGCGAGGCAUUUUGUUUUGUUCUGAGAUAUCAAGGAAAAAUGAGCAUCCGGGACAAAUUGGUUAAAAGAGAGAAAGGGCAGGUUGAAGCUCUCAGGGACACGAUUAGGAAGAGUCAGGCAGCUCAAGCUCACUUCACAGCUAGUGCUGGACAGUUUGGGAUCAGAAGGAGAAGAACUCAGCAGACCACCAACUGAUGCUACAGGUGAAGUAUCACACCAACUCUUUGAAAUGGUUUUAUAAUGACUAACUCAUCCCAGGUGCUUGAGGUUGGAUACACUUGCAGGGUCAGGGCAACAGAGUAGCACAGCCAAGAUGACCCUGACCUCUCAGAGAAUCAUAUUCUCCGGCAAGACUGUGAAAAUAAGCUUCAGCUGACGUUACUGCAUGUAGUUAAAUCAACAGCCUUGAACUCC